GUCCCCCAGUCAGAGACGGCGCUCAAGCCGUACGCAAGCGCAGAGGGGAGAGGCGCUUCGGCGCCAUCUUGGUGGCGAUUUUUGCUGUUUGAGCUUCUGUCGAAGAGGUAGCGAGCGCGCGGAGGAUGAGGCGGGUCGGGAAAUUCUCGGCUUUUAGCUGCCCGGCGCCGCGCGGUCCGCCCUUUCGCCGUCCAGGACACGCGGAUACCGCCCAAAAUCUUCCUCAGCAGAGUUCAUCGACAAGGUUCAGUUCCUAUGAUCUGUUUGUAACCUGAGGAGUUCGCAAGUCAAAAAUGUGGCCACAAACCAUCUUCCCACAUGGAAGAAGGUGUUUGCAACCCUGCAGCAACCAGCAAAUCCAUUCUGGCAGUUCCCCAAACACUUGUUCGUAUGUAUGGGCUGUAUGUGUGUCAGAUGUUUGUAAAUUGGGGAGGACCUGUAUCAUUACUAUUUUAUGAAACAAUUUAAAAAUAGUUUAACUGUAUGAUCUCAUUUUUAGUGGUCUGUAUAUAUGAAUGUUUCUCUAUCCCAUUUUAAAAGUGUAGGAAAUAGAGAUGUUUUGAUUUUGCAUUGAACUUACACUUUCCUGAUGGCUCUCAGGCCUCAUUGUGAUAAAUAAAUUAACAUCCAAUUUCAGGAAGUUUGACAUUGGUGCAUAUUGAUGUUGUCUUUUCCUAAGUCCAUAUAAUUUAAGUAUGCAGACACUUGUGAAUCAGUAAUUGCCAUCUAUUUUCCAUACAAAGAUUCAAUUUUGCUUUCUGCUAUUUUGUUUGACUAUUAUCCCUUUGCCACAGCUUGAAGUUAAUUCUUUAUAAUCUGUCAGGUAUGAUCACUGAAUAUCUGUACUGAUUGGUUUCUAAAUAUGACCUAAUCGGGGACAAAGUGCAUAAUUUCAGCCGGUUUUAUAGAUUCCGGUAAAUUAAAAGCAGAAAAUUGACUAGUUACAUCUUUUUCAAUCAGUUUCCUUGUAUGAUGUUCUUGAAGACUGCCUCAGGCCAAAUUGUCUUAAACUGUUUUCACAGCUUGAUCAGCUGAUGAUGCCACAAGUUAAUUGCAUUUCAAACACAGUAAUACCUUUAUCUCCUUCAUUCAACUAAGAUUAAAGAACUAAAAAAUUCAGAAGUAAGUUUAAUUGUACAGGCUGAGUACCCCCUAUCCAAAAUCUGAUAUUUUUUUGAGUGCUUGCAUGAUGUCCCAAAUGAAAAAUUCCGUAAGGCACUGGACCCAGGCAAUGAACAGGUCUCUGCGCAUCACAGACAGUUCUGAGAAGUGACCUCGAGUAUGUAAUGAAUAUUAAUAUAACAUUAAUAUAUGAAUAUGUAAUAAAUUAAGGGAAAAUUUUUGAAACACUGCAUUAAGUGAAAAGUUAAGAAAUUGAUCGUGUAUUGAAAGAAUGGAUUUGUCAGUGUCAGUGAUCAUAUGCUGCUUAGUGGUAUGCUGAUCAUGAAACAAGCAAAGAUCUUAUCACAACAAACUGAAAAUUGAAUGCAAUUGUGACUUCAGCAGGCUGGUUGCAGAAAUUUAAGAAAAGGAGUGCCAUUAAAUUUUUAAAGAUUUUUUUAAAAAAAUUAAAAAUAAAGCACUUGCUGAUUCUGGAGCAGCAGAGAAAUGCAUUGAUGCAGUUGUCACUGAUGAAAAUCUAAAACCAGAACAAGUCUACAAUGCUGAAUGUUUUUUUAUUCUUAACACAAAACCUAAAAAAAUACAUAGUGUUCUGUAACCUUUUAAUGAAAACAAGGCAUCUAGGUGGAGAUUGAAAGCCUGAUAAGGUUUUUGUUACCCUGCACACAAUAUUUUCCUUGUAUUAAUGAUAUGUAAUGUUUAUUGUUAAUACUUAACUGUAUGUGUGAUGAGCAAAUGUAAGACAAAGAUUGCUUACCAGUAGCACAUUAAUUCAGUCGGAAAUGAUGAUCCCAUUAUAUAACAGAAUAAUAUCUGAAAUCUGAAACACUUCUAGCUCUGAGCAUUUCAGAUAAGGGGUACUCAACCUGUAUAAGACUAAAUAAAGUAAUAUUUGAAGAGCCAGCCAAUAAGAAUUACCUUUGGAAUUGGUUUCCUCUUGUCAGAUACCCUGAGAUAUGGCAUAAAACUUGGUUUUGGUACCAUCCAUACACUUUUCAAAACAUAAGUACCUUGAGGUAGUACAAACGAGAAGCAAUUACGUAAUGAAGAAUGUAUGUUACAUUUGCAUAUUGUGAGCUGCAGCUAAAUAAGGUGUAAGGGCCAUGGGGGGGGGGGGGUGGUAGAAUAUAAGAUCAUAAGUUUUCUGAUAUGGCAUUUGCCUUUUUUAUCACUGACUUAGCCUGCAAAUUAACCUUUAGGGAAUUCUGCAAUAGGAUUGCCAUGUCCCUUUGCACAUCUGUUCUGAUUUUUCUCCUAUUUAGCAAAUAGCCUACAUUUUUAUCUUUACCAAAGUGUAUAACCGUACACCUCCCUACACUAUAUCUGUCACUGUCCAUUCUCCUAAUCUGUACACGUCCAUAAACUAAGCCACAAAGUCAUCCCAAAUCAUUGACCUAUGUAAAAGGAAAUGGUCCCAACAUAGACUUCUGCAGAACUCUACUAGUCAGCCACAGUCACCCUGAAAAAACACCUCCUGCCAGUCAGCCAAACUUCUGUCCAUGCUAGUAUUUUCUUAAAAUAUCAUGGGCUCUUGUUAAGCAGCCUCCUGUGCAGCCCCUUGUCAAAGGUCUUCUGAAAAUCCAAAUAAACAACAUCGACUGACUCUCCUUUGUCUAUCCUGUAUGUUAUUUAUUCAUAUUCCAACAGAUUUGUCAGGCUAACUUUGGCCUAUUUUAUCAUGUGCCUCUCAGUAUUCCAAAACCUCAUCCUUGAUAGACUCCAACAUUUUCCCAACCACUGAAGUCGGGCUGACUGGCCUAUAAUUUCCUUUGCUUGCUUCCCUCUCUUGAAAAGUGAAGUAACAUCUGUGAUUUUUUUUUUCCCAAUCCUCUGGAACCAUUCUAGAAUCUUGGGGCGCAGUACCUCUGGCUCCGGUGACUUACCUACCUUCAGACCUUUCAGCUUGCCAAGCGCCUUUUCCUCAGUAAUAGCAUGUACACUCACUGCUGCCCUCUGAGGUGAUCUACCUUUAUUGGUAUGCUUAAUGUCAUUAAUUUUAUAAACAGAAGAAAACCUGUUUGUUGAAUUCAUUUGUUUGCAUUUUACUAAUGACAAUAAAUGAAUCUGUCCUAUCUCAGAAAAGGAAACCUUCUGGGUUUUGUACUCCAGAAGUGAGAGUUUCACUUGGCUGAACUUUUGUGCAGAAUUUGACAACAACUUCAAGAUUUUAACAAUGUAGAGUGGAUACUUAAAAGGCAGCUUGCUACAAAUAACCAAUAAAAAUUACUGCUCCUUCAGGAAUUGAACCUCUAUAAAAAUGUAAAUAGUAAUUUUUGUUUCAUUUAAGCAUUAACUAUACACUGAUCCAUUUUAACAUUUUUAUGUUCUGUAGUUCUUUUAAUUAAGAUUUGCCAUCUGUCCAAGAAAUGGUAUAUAUUUUUAAUCCUCUAAAGGAUGCAACACUCACACCACAGUGCAUUUUGGCUCAUAAUUUGAGAAUAUUUUUAACUGAAGAGCAUUUGGGACAUCCAGGAACCAAUAUUCCAAAAUUGAAAAACUGGUUCACAAAAUAGUAUCUCCAUUAGAUCUUGGUUUAAGAAAAUAGAAUACAGCUAAUAAUAAAACAAUACAUUUUACUCUUGAUGAAAUUACUAAAAUUUGGAACUGGUGGAAAAAAAGCUUUUAUACAAGUAUGCACUCCUGUAUUUUGAUCAGAUGGGAAGAAAUUUAAAUAAACUAUUGCAGUGGCCAAAAAUUGAGGCCCAGUCCCUGAAAGAACAGUAAUUUUGCCAAGUUGUAAAAUACCAAACUAGUGUUUGCAGUCUUAUUAUGUAUUUAAUCUUUAAGCUGGUGCCAUAUUCUGCAUAAUCGUUCAAUAGUCCUCCACCUGGAAGAAGCUUCGUUUUACAGAUCAUGGUGUCUUUAAUCCAUGUGAAUGACCUGUAUAAUGACAACAAUUUGUAAAAUUUUAUAUCUUAAAAAUAUACCAGCACGAGACUUUCUUCAGAAAAACAAUGUAGAUCUAACCAGGGCCCUCUUUUUUGUACCUAAUAUAUCCCCAGUCCAAAUUAAUGUAAAUUUGUGCUGUUUUAAAAGAAUAAAUGAAUUUUAGUGCAUUACAAUACUUAAAUAUAAUAGGUUUUUUUUACUAUUUCCAUUGAAACAUUCAAUUAGUACUUUUGUAAGAAAUCUCACAGCAGGGAGCCAUUUGGCACAAGUGGUCUGGAAAUAGGAUGAUUGUAUUUGCAUAGACACUAUGUAUAUGAUAAAGAUGUAUUUAUUGGAAUAUUAUCAGUGUGGCCUGGGUGCUACCUCAUGUUAAGAACCAUGAAAAACAAAUUGAUUAAUGAGGAUUGAGUGGAAGGAUCCAGCUAAAAUAUAUGCAGGAAUUAGAUCAGCCUUUGUGCAGAUGAAUUAAAUUUAACUAAUAAACAUGAAUACUUAUUUGCAUGUUAUCUCAAAGCUCAACAGCUAAAUAAUACUUUAUUAAAUAGGGUCAUUGUGGAAAGGAAAAAGUAUAAUCUUUGUACAUAAACUAAUUAUUAGUGUAAGUAUGAUCAGUGGACGAGGGAGUUUAAAAUAAGCUGUAUUUCUUCUGCUUCUCUCCCCCUAAAUUCAUUUAGCUUGUCUUGCAUUUGAAGGAAUGGUAUUUUGUAGUGGAGUUAAAAGGCUGAAUCUAAUGAAUAACUGGGUCAUGGCAGCUCUUUUCCAUGGCACCCAUGUUAUCCCUUUGUCAUGAUCCUUGCAAUUUUCUUUUUCAACUGACCCAUGCUCUUGCCACCAAACCCAUUAUUCAUCUAUAAAUGAAAGGUGGAUACUGACCUACUUAACAUUCCACCAGUUUCCAUCCUUUUAAUAGAGACAGAAUACAGAUGCUGUGAUCUGGAGCAAAACAAAAACUGGUGGAACUCAGCAAGUUAAGCAGCAUCUGUGAAGGCCUCAGGAUUGUGCAGAGGCUUGAAGCAAAGUAUUGAUUGUCCUUUGCCUCCACAAAAUGAGAGUUUCUUUGCUAUCUUGUUUUCCUUGGGUUUACUUGAUUUUAAAAUUAAGACCUUUAUUAGAAUGGCAGUGCUUCAUUUUGUAGUGUCUCAGUCACCUUUCUCACAUGGUAAAAAUAAAUAGUUUGUCAAGUAAUUUGCCUCAUUUGAAAUUGGUUGUUUUUGCUCUUUCUUCAUCAGAACAAUUUUUUCAGUUAUCCUCAGUCUGGUAAAAGAAAUCUUCAAUAUAAAUGUCAUUUUUCCCUCCACUUAAAAUCUGAUAGCUGUUUUAAACAUUUUUUUAAAUUGUACAAGACGUAGUCUAACAGGGUUGGGAGGGACAUGUCUGAAAUUGACAUUUUUAAUAGUCAUUGAGUCAUAGAAAAGUACAGCGCAGGAUGGGCCUUUUGGCUCAUCUAGUCCGUGCAGAAAUCAUUUGAAGUGCUACUCCCAUUGACUUGCACUGGGACCAUUGCCAUCCAUUUACCUAUCCAAGUUAAAAAUCGAGCUCUUGUGUACCACUUGUGAUGGCAGCUCAUUCCAUGCUCUCAACCAUCUGAGUGAAGAAGUUUCCCCUCCUGUUCCCCUUAAACUUUUCACCUUUUACCCUUAACCCAUGACCUCUGUAGUCCCACCCAACCUCAGUGGAAAAUGCCUGCUUUCAUUUUUCUCUAUCUAUACCACUCAUAAUUUUGUAUAUAUCAAAUCUCCUCAAUCUUUCUGAGGAAUAAAGUCCUAACCCAUUCAAUCUAUCCUUAUAACUCCCUUGAAGAUUUCUCUAUACUCUUUCAACCUUAUUUACAUCUUACCUGUAGGUAGAUGACCAAAACUGCACACAAUACUCCAAAUUAAGCCUAAUCAAUGUCUUGUACAACUUCAACAUAGCAUCCCAUCUUCUAUACUCAAUAUAUUGAUUUAAGAAGGCUAAUGUGCUGAAAGCUUUCUUAUAUGGCCCUAUCUACCAGUGACACCAUUUUCAAUGAAACAUGGGCCAGUAUUCCCAGCUCUACCACACUCCACAGUGCCCUGCUGUUCAUUGUGUAAGAGUUGCGCUGGUUGGUCCUACCAAACUGCAGCACCUCACACUUAUUUGCAUUAAAUUCCAUUAGCCAUUUUUUUCAGCUUUUUCAAAUCCCUCUGCAAGCCAUAAUAGCCUUCUUCACUGAAUACCCACACACCUUAAGUAAUUGUAUUUAUUACAGAUGCCUAUUCUACACAAGCUUAAUUCAAUUGUAGCUCUGCUCUCGGCUGUGAAAGUUCAUGUGAAAGGCAUGAUCAAGCUUCAUAGAGAGUAGCCUUUACCAAAAUAACUUUAUUAAAAUAAAGGUAUUAAAUUUCCAAUGUAAAAUGUCUACUGUUAAUUUCUACACUUGUUUAAAUCCUAAUUUUAAAAGUAAUUUUUGCUAGAAAAUUUUUAUUGUAAUGCACAAAGAUCAAGUUUCUUAUUAAGUCACGUCUUAAUAUAAAGUUUGUGUUGCAGUCUGUCAUUAAAAUGGAAUAAAUAUUGUUAUAGAGUUAAAAUGCUAUAGGUAUUUACUGGAAUUGUGCCAAAUUAAUCUCCCAUUGUUUUUGUCAAUUAGUUUUUAAUGUGUAUUAUAUAUAUAUUUGUUAGUAAAUGUAAUAUUACAAAUAAACCUAUUCUUAUGCAGA